ensembl:lncRNA
AGCUGGCCCGCUUUGGCCAUAGGUUUUCGUCGGGCCAAAAAACCCUGGCCGUUGGCCCCGAGGAAGCCCAGACGAGGCACGAUCAAGCCCCGGAAGUGACAGUGGAAACGCGACUGGCCCUGGCACGCACUAGACUGUGUGACCAUUUUUCAAAGCAGAUGCAGAUACGACAGAAUCCAAAUGAAUCACUCUGUUCUGAUCGGCAGCUCAACUUCAUUUAGUUAGUUUUUAGUUUCAAUAUGAAUAUCACAGCAUGGUUGGAGUGCUUCAUUUUUGAGCAAAUUCUGCCACCCAUUUUUGCAAUGCAAGUAGAUGUACAUGUCCUCUGGGUGGCAGCAUGUUUAGAACGUGGAGUCUCCCAAGCCUCCAAGGGAAAACUGACACACAUGGAUCCAAUAUAGGCAAACCUUAGUAGAAGUAGACGACAUGGAGCCAUCCUUCGUUCAGAGGAGGAAGUUAGUGGUGUUCAUGUCUGCUACUGUUUUUCAUUUGCAGUCACAAAACUUCUGAACGACUUCCAAUCAACUUCCCCCUUCACAAAUGCAAAGGUGUACCUCCAGCCAAUGUGAUUUGUAAAGAUUGUCAGAUUGUAACUGAUGUCUGAUUAUACAAAGCUAUUACUCUUUCAUUUUGUCUUUCAGAAUUAGAGAUAUUACUUAUUUUGCCUUCCUUCGGUAAAUGAGAAUGUUCGGCCCGUUAGCAGAUUUUGACUUUACCUAAAACAUUUUCACUAGCAC